AAAAUGUGAUAAAAACUGAACCAGACAAGAGUCCAUUACUUUGCAUAUUGCUGGAAGAGGACAGUGGACGUGGGGGCUUUUCCAAAUGUUUUCCAUCCCCCCCAGUAUCCACCUCUCUGUCCAGCUGUGCUGCACUGAAACUCAAUCCAGGAGCUGCCUGCACUGAAUGGCCAACUCAUUCAAGGCCCAGAUGUGAAUGCUCAAAUAACUGUCUGCCUGGCUUCUCUUCAAGCAUCCAGACCAAUCCUCUGUGAAAUCACUUUAAAACACAUCGCUGGGCUGAUUAACAAAAAACAAAGCAAGAGACGUCACAAGCAGCAAGGAGAAGAGUUUUGUUCCAGGGAAACGAACAGUGCCUGCUGACUUGUGAAUGGGUCAUGUGGUGAAGUAGGCAGAGGACUCGUGCAAGAGCCAGCGGGCAUUGCGUCUGAAAUCUGCAAGUCUGCAGUUGUGAACAGAGGAGUUGUGGGUUUUUAAUUCAUCCCUCGAGGCUUAAAAACAAGAAAGAAAAGAAGCAGAAAAAGAGGUGACAAGGAACAAGGAAACGGCAGAGACCAGUUUCCCAUGAGGAGCCGUUUCCUGAGCACAGAUUAAGCUGAAUCCCAGACGAGAAAGUGCUCAGAUGUUUUCAGCAACAGUUGGCCUCGUCUGUAAGCUCAGGGUAAGUUACUUCAAGUUUCCCUCAAUGCUAAAUGUGAAUGCCUUACAUUAUCAACAAUGGAUAUGUCGCAACCAGGCUGUUCCAGGA